GGCACCGUAGCACAGUUGGUUAGCGCGCCUGCUUCGAACCCAGAGGUAAUGGGUUCAAGGCUCGUCGUUGCUA
rnacentral:tRNA from 1 species